AAAUCAUGUUGAGGGUAAUUUCAUAACAACCCCUUGUAUCUUUACCAAGCUUCAUAUAAGGACUCGCCAUCAUUUUUUGGAAGUUCGCUCUCUUCUUGAGUUU